GCUCCUGUAGCUCAAUUGGCAGAGCACCCGCCUUGUAAGCGGAAGGUUUCCAGUUCGAUUCUGGACAGGAGCU
rnacentral:tRNA from 1 species